AUUGAACGCUGGCGGCAGGCUUAACACAUGCAAGUCGAGCGGGGUGAUGGUGCUUGCACUAUCACUUAGCGGCGGACGGGUGAGUAAUGCUUAGGAAUCUGCCUAUUAGUGGGGGACAACAUCUCGAAAGGGAUGCUAAUACCGCAUACGUCCUACGGGAGAAAGCAGGGGAUCACUUGUGACCUUGCGCUAAUAGAUGAGCCUAAGUCGGAUUAGCUAGUUGGUGGGGUAAAGGCCUACCAAGGCGACGAUCUGUAGCGGUUCUGAGAGGAUGAUCCGCCACACGGGGACUGAGACACGGCCCAGACUCCUACGGGAGGCAGCAGUGGGGAAUAUUGGGCAAUGGGGGGAACCCUGAUCCAGCCAUGCCGCGUGUGUGAAGAAGGCCUUAUGGUUGUAAAGCACUUUAAGCGAGGAGGAGGCUCUUUUGGUUAAUACCCAAGAUGAGUGGACGUUACUCGCAGAAUAAGCACCGGCUAACUCUGUGCCAGCCGCCGCGGUAA
rnacentral:rRNA from 1 species